AAACAGGGGUUUUGUCCCUGCACGGGGUCUGGCAGCGUCUCCCCCCGGGCUUAACCCCAGCUCCCACCCCCGAGUUUUCCCCUUCAGCUCCUCUUCUGCCGCUCGCUACAGUAGCUUGAGCCCCCCUGGCCAGUAAAUUACUGUCUCCUGCUCAGACCCUGACAGCCCCGCGCUGCGAUUUGCCCCCCUUAAUCCUUUUAACUCCUCCAAAGAGAAGGCAGCAAAUCGUAAGCAGAAGUAAGGGCAGAGAGAGGGCAGUGGCUACAGCGAAGGGUACUGGGCAUGCUCAGUUCGGGUGCGCAUGCUCAGUACACCCAAGUAGGGAAUUGGGAGCGAGAGCUGUUUGUGUAGGUUCACCCCGCUCGCAGGGAAGAGUCCAGAGCAUCUGUCUGCAGGGAGAGAGCCUGCGGGGAAUUGGGCUGUCACAUGCACUCAAGCCCCUUCUGAAACCUUCCCAAUGGCCCCGACAGGCUGAGGAAUCACAUCCAGAUUUCCCUCGAGAUCGUCCUGUGUUCCAGGGGACUGGGAAGGGAAAUGGCUGUGAUGGAGUCAGCUCAGUUGCCGGUGACCUUCGAGGAGGUGGCUGUGUAUUUCACCCAGGGUCAGGGAGCUCUGC